rnacentral:rRNA from 1 species
GGAAUAUUGGUCAAUGGCCGAGAGGCUGAACCAGCCAAGUAGCGUGCAGGACGACGGCCCUCUGGGUUGUAAACUGCUUUUAUAGGGGAAUAAAGUUCGCCACGUGUGGCGUUUUGUAUGUACCCUAUGAAUAAUGACCGGCUAAUUCCGUGCCAGCAGCCGCGGUAAUACGGAAGGUCAGGGCGUUAUCCGGAUUUAUUGGGUUUAAAGGGAGCGCAGGCGGGCUGUUAAGCCGGCUGUGAAAGUGCGGGGCCCAACCCCGUAUUGCGGUCGGAACUGAUGGUCUUGAGUGCACGCAGGGACGCUGGAAUUCACGGUGUAGCGGUGAAAUGCUUAGAUAUCGUGAAGAACUCCGAAGGCGAAGGCAGGUGUCCGGAGUGCUACUGACGCUGAGGCUCGAAAGUGCGGGUAUCGAACA